GGUAUUUACUUUUACAUAUUUCUACAAAGUGGUUUUAGGAAAUGAGAGCUUUACAUCGUACUUAAUUCUUCUAACAUUCCAAAUGCCGAGAAGUGGCUAAUGAUUUCUGCACAUUACUGUCCCUAUUAUCAUUAAUAUAGUUUGUGUUUUAAUGGAGUGCUUCUGGGGCUUAUUUAAAUAUCGCAUUUUAUCACUUGCUUUCCUACGCAGCUGCUAUUGUCUCUCUGAUUACCUCAUUUUAACC